ACUGGGCGCCUUGGAAGAAACUAAACACACAGCGGCAACGGCAGCACGGUUAUAAACGGUGCAUGGGUAACCGUACGAGCCCAUCACGACCGGCGCGUCGCGUGCCACUCCUCCUACUCGGUCACUCACACUGCAUGCAUUCACUCUCGGCGCACCACCACCUGUUUCACCGAUCCAGUUAACGUGGAAACCGGCGCGGCAUUUCGCUACUAAGGAUUCACCCUAUCAACGCCAUCAUCUGAAAGAUUUUGCCAAUCAGG